rnacentral:rRNA from 1 species
CGGGGGGGGGGCCUAAUAAUGCAAGUCGAACGCUUCUUUUUCCACCGGAGCUUGCUCCCCCGGAAAAAGAGGAGUGGCGAACGGGUGAGUAACACGUGGGUAACCUGCCCAUCAGAAGGGGAUAACACUUGGAAACAGGUGCUAAUACCGUAUAACAAUUUAAACCGCAUGGUUUUGAUUUGAAAGGCGCUUUCGGGUGUCGCUGAUGGAUGGACCCGCGGUGCAUUAGCUAGUUGGUGAGGUAACGGCUCACCAAGGCCACGAUGCAUAGCCGACCUGAGAGGGUGAUCGGCCACAUUGGGACUGAGACACGGCCCAAACUCCUACGGGAGGCAGCAGUAGGGAAUCUUCGGCAAUGGACGAAAGUCUGACCGAGCAACGCCGCGUGAGUGAAGAAGGUUUUCGGAUCGUAAAACUCUGUUGUUAGAGAAGAACAAGGAUGAGAGUAACUGAUCAUCCCUUGACGGUAUCUAACCAGAAAGCCACGGCUAACUACGUGCCAGCAGCCGCGGUAAUACGUAGGUGGCAAGCGUUGUCCGGAUUUAUUGGGCGUAAAGCGAGCGCAGGCGGUUUCUUAAGUCUGAUGUGAAAGCCCCCGGCUCAACCGGGGAGGGUCAUUGGAAACUGGGAGACUUGAGUGCAGAAGAGGAGAGUGGAAUUCCAUGUGUAGCGGUGAAAUGCGUAGAUAUAUGGAGGAACACCAGUGGCGAAGGCGGCUCUCUGGUCUGUAACUGACGCUGAGGCUCGAAAGCGUGGGGAGCAAACAGGAUUAGAUACCCUGGUAGUCCACGCCGUAAACGAUGAGUGCUAAGUGUUGGAGGGUUUCCGCCCUUCAGUGCUGCAGCUAACGCAUUAAGCACUCCGCCUGGGGAGUACGACCGCAAGGUUGAAACUCAAAGGAAUUGACGGGGGCCCGCACAAGCGGUGGAGCAUGUGGUUUAAUUCGAAGCAACGCGAAGAACCUUACCAGGUCUUGACAUCCUUUGACCACUCUAGAGAUAGAGCUUUCCCUUCGGGGGCAAAGUGACAGGUGGUGCAUGGUUGUCGUCAGCUCGUGUCGUGAGAUGUU